UCCACGCCCUAAACGAUGUUCACUAGUCGUCGGGAUGCUAGUCAUCUCGGUGAUGCACUUAACAGAUUAAGUGAACCGCCUGGGGAGUACGGUCGCAAGAUUAAAACUCAAAGGAAUAGACGGGGACCCGCACAAGUGGUGGAGCAUGUGGUUUAAUUCGAAGAUACGCGAAGAACCUUACCUAGCCUUGACAUUGAUUGAACACUUUAGAGAUAGAGUGGUGCCCUUCGGGG
rnacentral:rRNA from 1 species